ensembl:lncRNA
UUUGGCGCAAAAAAAGGCCAUAGUAUACUAUGUCGACAAAAAAUGUGAUUUUUUAACAUGUUGUAAAAAUGUGACAUAUGAUGAAAUAAUGUAAAGGAGGCCGUGAAAAACACUAUGGUAAGGUUUUCUUUGAAAAAAAAAUCAUCAUGAAUUUUGGCGCAAAAAAACGCCAUCGUAUACUAUGUCGAAAAAUGUCAUUUUUCAACAUGUUGUGAAAACAUGCCAUAUGAUAAAAUAAUGUAAAGCAGGCUGUGAAAAGCACUCCAGAAAGGUUUUCUUUGGAAAAAAAAUCAUGAAUUUUGGCGCAAAAAAACGCCAUAGUAUACUAUGUCGGAAAAAAAAUGUGAUUUUUCAACAUGUUGUAAAAACGUGCCAUAUGAUGAAAUAAUGUAAAGGAGGCCAUGAAAAACACUAUGGUAAGGUUUUCUUUGAAAAAAAAAAAUCAUGAAUUUUGGCGCAAAAAAAUGCCACAGUAUACUGUCGAAAAAUGUCAUUUUUCAACAUGUUGUAAAAACAUUCCAUAUGAUAAAAUAAUGUAAAGCAGGCUGUGAAAAACACUCCAGAAAGGUUUUCUUUGAAAAAAAAAUCAUCAUGAAUUUUGGCGCAAAAAAACGCCAUAGUAUACUAUGUCGAAAAAAAAAUGUCAUUUUUCAACAUGUUGUGAAAACGUGCCAUAUGAUGAAAUAAUGUAAAGCAGGCUGUGAAAAACACUCCAGAAAGGUUUUCUUUGGAAAAAAAAAAAUUACCAUGAAUUUUGGCGCAAAAAACGCCAUAGUAUACUAUGUCGGAAAAAAAAUGGGAUUUUUCAACAUGUUGUAAAAACGUGCCAUAUGAUGAAAUAAUGUAAAGGAGGCUGUGAAAAACACUCCAGAAAGGUUUUCUUUGAAAAAAAAACAUCAUGAAUUUUGGCGCAAAAAAACGCCACAGUAUACUCUGUCGAAAAAUGUCAUUUUUCAACAUGUUGUGAAAACAUGCCAUAUGAUAAAAUAAUGUAAAGCAGGCUGUGAAAAACACUCCAGAAAGGUUUUCUUUAAAAAAAAAAGUCACCAUGAAAUUUGGCGC